UACGGGGGGGAGCAAGCGUUGUUCGGAUUUACUGGGCGUAAAGGGCGCGUAGGCGGUCAGCACAAGUCAGUUGUGAAAUCUCCGGGCUUAACUCGGAAAGGUCAACUGAUACUGUGCGACUAGAGUGCAGAAGGGGCAACUGGAAUUCUCGGUGUAGCGGUGAAAUGCGUAGAUAUCAAGAGGAACACCAGUGGCGAAGGCGAGUCCCUGGACAACACCUGACACUGAGGCACGAAAGCUAGGGGAGCAAACAGG
rnacentral:rRNA from 1 species